rnacentral:tRNA from 1 species
GAGUGUAGCUCAGUGGUAGAGCAUAUGCUUAGCAAGCAUGAGGCCCUGGGUUCAAUCCCCAGCACCA